UCCCUGGUGGCUCAGAUGGUAAAGCGUCUGCCUGCAAUGCGGGAGACCCAGGUUCGAUCCCUGGGUUGGGAA
rfam:TPA: Bos taurus chromosome 12, whole genome shotgun sequence.